rnacentral:rRNA from 1 species
AACGAACGCUGGCGGCAGGCCUAACACAUGCAAGUCGAGCGCGCCCUUCGGGGUGAGCGGCGGACGGGUGAGUAACGCGUGGGAACGUGCCCUUUUCUACGGAAUAGCCUCGGGAAACUGAGAGUAAUACCGUAUACGCCCUUUGGGGGAAAGAUUUAUCGGAAAAGGAUCGGCCCGCGUUGGAUUAGGUAGGUGGUUGGGUAAUGGCCUACCAAGCCGACGAUCCAUAGCUGGUUUGAGAGGAUGAUCAGCCACACUGGGACUGAGACAGGGCCCAAACCUACUCAGGAGGCAGGAGUAGGGAACACUAGGCCAAGGGGGGAAGCCUGAACCUAGCCUGCCGGGUGAGGGAUUGAGGGCUUUAGGGUUGUAAGGCCUUUUAAGUGGGGAGAUUAUGACGGUACCAGCAGAAGAAGCCCCGGCUAACUCCG